ACGAAUAUUUAAUUAAUUAUAUCAUUUUCGAUAUAGAAAAUAAUGAGUCAAAUUUUUGACAUUUGUUAUAAUAUAGGUUAUGUAGUAUAAUAUAUAGUCUGUGUCAUUUCAAAACUUUUCAAAACCAAAACAAACAUUUUGCUCAUAACUGGAUUAUAUCUUUAUUUGUCUAAAUACGAGAUUUCAAAGCUCCAAAUGGCUUUAAGCGGUCAAGUGGACUUUAAAAAAAGUUGUACACCUAACCAACGGCAUUCUACUUGUCCUGUGUUUUAGUUUGUUUCCAAAACUAUCGAAAUGUCUCGCAACGCACUGCCUUCGUUGAGUCAGCUGGAAGAGCUAGUAAGCUUUUUGGAAAGCAAACCAUGUGGGGCCAUCAUCAGGUCAGUCAUCAGGCACGAUCCGAAAACAACAGCCCCAUACAGUGACGCAGUGGGUGUAUGAAAAUACUGGAGCAAUGGUGUAAGUACUGGCAGGACAAAAAGGAGCAGUUCAGAGGAAGUCCAGUUCUAUUGCAGCUGCGAGGCAACAUGAAGAAUUUGCCAGAACUCGGUGUAAUCGAGUUAAAAACACAUUCCAUUAUGCGAGGAGAAUGUUUUGGAAUCUGAAUUUAGAUAAAUAAAUCCAUGUUCAUUAUAAAAUACAAAAUAAUAAAAAGACAUGUUGAAUUAAAAUAUUGUUUUAUUAAUUAAUGAUUACAGAAAAGUUAAAUAUUUUUAUAAAAAUAACUUUGAUACCUGCACACUAUUGUGUAAUGUUAAAAAUGUUUAUAUUACUAUUUGACAUACACAGGUAAAGUACAUAUGUAUUGUUAGAAGGUGUCACACAUAUUAUUGUUUAUUAAAUAACUUGUAGCAUGACGUCCACAGUCCAAGUCACUGCUAGAGUCCGGCUUGCUUGUUCACCGGGUCACAGUUGCUUCUUACCUCGUACUUAUCAAUAAUAUCUGGAUAGUUGAAGGCAUCUACUGUAUAUUGUUGAGUCCUUGAGGCAGAUGCC